GACGAACGCUGGCGGCGUGCUUAACACAUGCCAGUCGAACGGAAAGGCCCUGCUUGCAGGGUACUCGAGUGGCGAACGGGUGAGUAACACGUGGGUGAUCUGCCCUGCACUUCGGGAUAAGCCUGGGAAACUGGGUCUAAUACCGGAUAGGAGCCAUUUUUAGUGUGAUGGUUAGAAAGUUUUUUCGGUGUAGGAUGAGCUCGCGGCCUAUCAGCUUGUUGGUGGGGUAAUGGCCUACCAAGGCGGCGACGGGUAGCCGGCCUGAGAGGGUGGACGGCCACAUUGGGACUGAGAUACGGCCCAGACUCCUACGGGAGGCAGCAGUGGGGAAUAUUGCACAAUGGGCGCAAGCCUGAUGCAGCGACGCCGCGUGGGGGAUGACGGCCUUCGGGUUGUAAACUCCUUUCGCUAGGGACGAAGCUUUUUGUGACGGUACCUAGAUAAGAAGCACCGGCUAACUACGUG
rnacentral:rRNA from 1 species